GACGGAGGGUGCAAGCGUUGUUCGGAUUGACUGGGCGUAAAGGGCGUGUAGGCGGUUGGCCAAGUCUGAUGUGAAAGCCCGGAGCUCAGCUCCGGAAGGGCAUCGGAAACUAGCUAGCUGGAGCGCGAUAGAGGAGGGCGGAAUUCCUGGUGUAGCGGUGAAAUGCGUAGAUAUCAGGAGGAACACCGGCGGCGAAGGCGGCCCUCUGGAUCGUUGCUGACGCUGAGACGCGAAAGCGUGGGGAGCAAACAGG
rnacentral:rRNA from 1 species